rfam:Gossypium raimondii Chr10_contig_1019, whole genome shotgun sequence.
AAUCCAUGAUGAUGGCACAUUCUCAAAAGAUCCUUAAAUAUCUCACAUGCAUCAUAUAGUGUUGAGCAAAAGAAGAGAUACCAUUCCUCAAUUU